rnacentral:rRNA from 1 species
UACAGAGACUGCAAGCGUUAUUCGGAUUCACUGGGCGUAAAGGGGGCGCAGGCGGGUGUGGGGGGCAGGUGGGAAAGCCCGGGGCUUAACCCCGGAAUUGCGCCUGAAACUACAUGACUAGAGCAUUGGAGAGGGUAGCGGAAUUCACGGUGUAGCAGUGAAAUGCGUAGAUAUCGUGAGGAACACCAGAGGCGAAGGCGGCUACCUGGACAAUUGCUGACGCUCAGGCACGAAAGCGUGGGGAGCAAAAGGG